ensembl:lncRNA FIRRE firre intergenic repeating RNA element
ACAGGCCCUCCCUCCGUUGCCCAGGUGGGAGUGCAGUGGUGUGAUGUCAGUUCACUGCAACCUUGGCCUCCCGGAUUCAAGCGAUUCUCCUGCCUUAACCUUCCGAACAUGGAUCCCUGAGGUCGGUCCCCAAUACGACAAGACAAUUUGAUAUCAUAAUAGAACACUGCAGAAACAAUGCUGAGUGAAGAAGAGUAGAAAUGGGAAGACUUGGUUGAGCGGAAACUGAGUUCUUGAAAAGAGGAGAUGCUUGAUGAGGAUGGAGUCUUGCUCUGUCGCCCAGCCUGGAGUGCAGCAGCACGAUCUCAGCUCACUGCAUCCUCCGUCUCCCAGGUUGAAGGGAUUCUCUUGUCUCAGCCUCCCGAACAACUGGGACUAAAGGCAUGGAUCCCUGAGGUCUGCCCCAGUACUAUAAGACAAUUUGAUGUAAGAAAACACAGCAGAUAUAAUACUGAGUGAAGAAGAGUAUAAAUGAGAAGAUUGGUUGUGCAGAUACUGAGUUCAUGAAAAGAGGAGAUGAUUGAUGAGGCCAGGUGCGGUGACUCAUGCCUGUAAUCCCUGCACUUUGGGAGGCUGCGGCGGGCGGAUCACCUGAGGUCAGGAGUUCGAGACCAGCCUGGGAGACAGAGCAUGGAAACCUAAGGUCUGUACCCAAAACUACAGGACUAUUUGACAUCAUAAUAAAACACUGCAGAUAUGAUGCUGAGUAAGAGUAGAAAUGGGAAGACUUGGUUGUGCAGUAACUGAGUUCUUGAAAAGAGGAGAUGCUUGAUGAGGGCAUGGAUCACUAAGGUCUGUUCCCAAUACAAGAAGACUCUUUGACAUCAUAAUAAAAUACUGCAGAUACGAUGCUGAGUGAAAAAGAGUAGAAAUGGGAAGACUUGGUUGUGCAGAAACUGAGUUCUUAAAGAGAGGAGAUACUUUAUGAGGUUGCAGGGCUUUGACUCCUGGGUACAUGUAUCUCAUCUGAAAGGGAAUCCUGACGCCUACUGAAUCUUAAUAGUCAAUAUUGAUAUCUGGCAUCAAAUUCAAGUUGACCAAAGUUCCAUCUUCAGACCUGGGAGAAGAUGACAGUCAAAAUGAACUGCUUUCAUGUGACACUGGACCAGGCCUAUAUACAAAGGCAUAAGUCUUUAGAAAAUAACUUAACUCCUCCAAGCAAUUGCCAAACAGAAAACCUUGGCAUCUUCCUAUGACCUAAAAGAAAGCUGUAACCCAACCACCUUGGUCAGGACGUCUUGAGACUGUGCCUUGCGCCAUGGUCAGUCGUAUUUUGUGCAGAAUAAACAUUUUUCAAUAUUU